UACGUAGGGGGCGAGCGUUGUCCGGAGUUACUGGGCGUAAAGCGCGUGUAGGCGGUCCACCAAGUUUGGGGUGACAGUUGCCGACUUAAUCGGCAAAGUGCAUCAAAGACUGGCGGACUUGAGGGCCACAGAGGGACAUGGAACUCCAGGUGUAGUGGUGAAAUGCGUAGAUAUCUGGAAGAACACCAAAGGCGAAGGCAGUGUCCUGGGUGGUCGCUGACGCUGAGAGGCGAAGGCCAGGGGAGCGAACGGG
rnacentral:rRNA from 1 species